GACGAACGCUGGCGGCGUGCUUAACACAUGCAAGUCGAACGGAAAGGCCCUGCUUUUGUGGGUUGCUCGAUUGGCGAACGGGUGAGUAACACGUGAGUAACCUGCCCUUUACUUUGUGAUAACUUCAGGAAACUGGGGCUAAUACCGGAUAGGAUCUCCUGCUGCAUGGUGGGGGUUGGAAAGUUUCGGCGGUUGGUGAUGGACUCGCUGCUUAUCAGCUUGUUUGUGGGGUAGUUGCUUACCAAGGCUUUGACGGGUAGCCGGCCUGUGAGGGUGACCGGCAACAAUGGGACUGAGAUACGGACCAGACUGCAACGGGAGGCAGCAGUGGGGAAUAUUGCACAAUGGGCGGAAGCCUGAUGCAGAAACGCCGCGAGCGGGAUGACGGGCUUCGGGUUGUAAACAGAUGUCGCAUGAGACGAAGAGUGAGUGACGGUAAUGGGUAAAGAAGCACCGGCUAACUACGUG
rnacentral:rRNA from 1 species